rnacentral:ncRNA from 1 species
GGGUCCGGAAACGCAUGGCGCUUCCGGAGGAAUGGAUGGUCGGGCCGCCAUCU